GACGAACGCUGGCGGCAGGCCUAACACAUGCACGUCGAACGAGAGGCGGACGGGUGAGUAAUGUAUGGGAAACUGCGCGAUGGAGGGGGAUAACGACUGUAAACGGUAGCUAAUAGCGCAUACCAUCGGAUGUGCCCAGAUGGGUGUAGCUAGUAGGUGGGGUAACGGCUCACCUAGGCGACGAUCCCUAGCAGGUCUGAGAGGAUGACCAUCCACACUGGAACUGAGACACGGUCCAGACUCCGACGAGAGGCAGCAGGGGGGAAUAUUGCACAAUGGGCGCAAGCCGGAUGCAGCCAUGCCGCGUGUAUGAAGAAGGCUGUCGGGUUGUAAAGUACUUUCAGCGAGGAGGCGUUACUCGCAGAUGAAGCACCGGCUAACUCCGUGCCAGCAGCCGCGGUAAUUC
rnacentral:rRNA from 1 species